GACGAACGCUGGCGGCGUGCUUAACACAUGCAAGUAGAACGCAGUUGCGAACGGGUGAGUAACGCGUAGGUAACUGCCUGGUAGCGGGGGAUAACUAUUGGAAACGAUAGCUAAUACCGCAUCCUACCAGAUGGACCUGCGUUGUAUUAGGUAGUUGGUGGGGUAACGGCUUACCAAGGCGACGAUACAUAGCCGACCUGCGAGGGGGGUCGGCCACACUGGGACCGAGACACGGCCCAGACUCCCACGGGAGGCAGCAGUAGGGAAGUUUCGGCAAUGGACGGAAGUCCGACCGAGCAACGCCGAGGGAGUGAAGAAGGGUUUCGGAUCGUAAAGCUCUGUUGUAAGAGAAGCGGUAUCUUACCAGAAAGGGACGGCUAACUACGUGCCAGCAGCCGCGGUAAUUC
rnacentral:rRNA from 1 species